CUCUCACCUGGGUUUCAUUAUUCACUUCUGCGUUCUCUCUCUCUCUUUUUUCUUAACUUUUUAUUCUUUUCAUAAAUCUUGUUGCCCCAAACUCAGAUUUGUGGAGCCUCUCAGUUUAAAUGACUAAUGGACUAGCUGUAGUUUUUGAGUCCCUAUUCCAAAUUAUUGAAGGAACAAACAAAGUUCUCUGGCUUGCACCCACAGUCCACUCUGGUUUCAGCCAUCUCUAGCCUGGCUCAGCAGGCCUGGAGGGAUGAUGCUGUCGACUCGUAGGCCAUGAGUUCCACUCCUUAAUGGGCAGGUAGGAGCAACUAUGAUGACAAGCUAGGCCCAGAGAAGAGGACAUGAGCCAGGCCAGCACCACAGAGAUGAGCAAAUUGUGGCCAGAGAGAAGCGUCUUAAGGACUCCCUUCCCCCAAGAGCCCAGAAUAGAAUAAGAAUGUUUAUCACGGGGCAGGCUCUGCCAAAGAUGUUCUAUGGGAG
rnacentral:lncRNA from 1 species